GGGAAAAAGCCAAGAAGGAAAAGAAAAAUUCCCGCUGGCACAUCCGAUACACCUCCUGAAUUUUUGGGGAGGGGAAAUUUUGGACGCACAGAUUCCCAGAAAGGCGAGGGCACAUCUUGCUGCUACCCGCACAGCACCCGGCACACACGCUCUGCCGGCCGCCUGACAUUUCUGUGCCGCUCUAAGGUCCCGGCCGUGCUCCGCCGGGGGUUCCCCACUGCCCGCAGCCCCACGCCGCGCACACGGAACACCUGGGGGGCUGCGGCUGCGCCCGGAGACCGCAGCGCCCCCCGCUCCGCUGCCCUACGGGGCUGCGGGCGGUGCAGCUCACCUGGCCAUGGCCAGUUUCGCCACCCCCGCUGCCAUUUGUUGCUCGCUUUCGGAGGGAGCAGCUCUACUCCCCAUCACCGCCGCCUGCUCCGUAGCAACUGGUCCGGAGAUUUCUCUCCUCCUGUCAAGAAGCCUGAAGGCUCUCAGGGACAGGAUUCUCUUAGUUUCAGAUAUGACUGUGCUGAUUACAUCUUGUUUCAGAAGCACAAGCAGCAUUCAGUGAAAACUACCUCCUUUUAGACAUGCAAAUUGCAGAUUGAAGACAGUGACUUUUCCUGCUCCCAAGAAAUGCACUGCUCCUCUGAGAAGAUCAUGAAGAGUGGCUGGAUUUUUAAAGGAAGCAGCAAGUAUAUAGGAGAGUCAUUACUAGAAGACAAUUGCCUUGUGCAAUUUCCUCAACUCAGAAGUCUUCCUGGACUCAGUAAAGACAUGCAACAAAUAAGUAAUUAUCUCAAGAAUUAGAUGUACUUAAUCUGUGCUUUUAAUUAAAACUAGAUGAAAUUCAAAGCUGAAGGUUCA
rnacentral:lncRNA from 1 species